rnacentral:tRNA from 1 species
AAGGUUGUAGCUUAAUUAAAGUGUCUGCUUUGCACGCAGAAGAUGUGGGUUAGUGUUCCUGUCAAUCUUA